rnacentral:rRNA from 1 species
UACGUAGGUCCCGAGCGUUGUCCGGAUUUAUUGGGCGUAAAGCGAGCGCAGGUGGUUUAUUAAGUCUGGUGUAAAAGGCAGUGGCUCAACCAUUGUAUGCAUUGGAAACUGGUAGACUUGAGUGCAGGAGAGGAGAGUGGAAUUCCAUGUGUAGCGGUGAAAUGCGUAGAUAUAUGGAGGAACACCAGUGGCGAAGGCGACUUACUGGACUGUAACUGACGUUGAGGCACGAAAGUGUGGGGAGCAAACAGG